AUUGAACGCUGGCGGCAGGCCUAACACAUGCAAGUCGAACGGUAACAGGAAGAAGCUUGCUUCUUUGCUGACGAGUGGCGGACGGGUGAGUAAUGUCUGGGAAACUGCCUGAUGGAGGGGGAUAACUACUGGAAACGGUAGCUAAUACCGCAUAACGUCGCAAGUCCAAAGAGGGGGACCUUCGGGCCUCUUGCCAUCGGAUGUGCCCAGAUGGGAUUAGCUAGUAGGUGGGGUAACGGCUCACCUAGGCGGCGAUCCCUAGCUGGUCUGAGAGGAUGACCAGCCACACUGGAACUGAGACACGGUCCAGACUCCUACGGGAGGCAGCAGUGGGGAAUAUUGCACAAUGGGCGCAAGCCUGAUGCAGCCAUGCCGCGUGUAUGAAGAAGGCCUUCGGGUUGUAAAGUACUUUCAGCGGGGAGGAAGGGAGUAAAGUUAAUACCUUUACUCAUUGACGUUACCCGCAGAAGAAGCACCGGCUAACUCCGUG
rnacentral:rRNA from 1 species